GUACAUACGACCAAUUAUUACAUGUCAAUUAAAAACAAAAUUUGCAUGGGAUCGCCCACGGCAUGCAAGAGCAACCUAGAGAGAUUGGCAGGUCGGAUUAGCAUAACACCUGUAGCUGCCACCCACCUUUCCGAUAAUG
rnacentral:snoRNA from 1 species